UACUGCUAUCGGUGUUCGACUAAGCCAUGCUAGUUAAAUGUUCUUCGUGAACAUAGCGGACUGCUCAGUAACACGUGGACAAUCUGCCCUUGGGUUCAGCAUAACCCCGGGAAACUGGGGAUAAUUCUGAAUAGAUCACAUAUGCUGGAAUGCUUUGUGAUUAAAAGAUCCGUCGCCCAAGGAUGGGUCUGCGGCCUAUCAGGUUGUAGUGGGUCUAGAGUACCUACUAGCCAACGACGGGUACGGGUUGUGAGAGCAAGAGCCCGGAGAUGGAUUCUGAGACAUUAAUCCAGGCCCUACGGGGCGCAGCAGGCGCGAAACCUUUACACUGCGGGAAACCGCGAUAAGGGGACACCGAGUGCCAGCAUACAAUGCUGGCUGUCCACAUGUGUAAAUAGCAUGUGAUAGCAAGGGCCGGGCAAGACCGGUGCCAGCCGCCGCGGUAACACCGGCGGCCCGAGUGGUAAUCACUAUUAUUGGGUCUAAAGGGUCCGUAGCCGGUUUAAUCAGUCUUCCGGGAAAUCUGACAGCUCAACUGUUAGGCUACCGGGGGAUACUGUUAGACUUG
rnacentral:rRNA from 1 species